UACGGGGGGAGCAAACGUUGUUCGGAAUCACUGGGCGUAAAGGGCGCGUAGGCGGCUGAAUAAGUGGGAUGUUAAAUCCCCGGGCUCAACCCGGGACCUGCAUCUCAUACUGUUCAGCUCGAGCACAUCAGAGGAGACUGGAAUUCCCGGUGUAGCGGUGAAAUGCGUAGAUAUCUGGAGGAACACCGGUGGCGAAGGCGGCAUCCUGGACCAAUUCUGACGCUGAGUGAGCGAAAGCCAGGGGAGCAAACGGG
rnacentral:rRNA from 1 species